rnacentral:rRNA from 1 species
GGGGGGGGGGGGGGGGGGGGGGGGGGGGGGGGGGGGGGGGGGGGGGGCGGGGGGGGGGCGGGGCGGGGGGGAGCGGCGGACGGGGGGGGCACGGGUGGAUACGCUAGCUGUAGUGCGGGGAUGACGUCUGGAGCCCGGAGCUCAUACGGGCGAAUCGUGUGCACAGCAUGGUUCAGCAGUGGACGACGGUCUUGCUGUCACUUCUAGAUGGCUCCGCGCUGCAUUAGCUAGUUGGUAAGUUAACGGCUUAUCAAGGCAACGAUGCAUAGCCGACCUGCGAGGGUGAUCGGCCACACUGGAACUGAGACACGGUCCAGACUCCUACGGGAGGCAGCAGUAGGGAAUCUUCCGCAAUGGGCGAAAGCCUGACGGAGCAACGCCGCGUGAGUGAUGAAGGUCUUCGGAUCGUAAAACUCUGUUAUUAGGGAAGAACAUAUGUGUAAGUAACUGUGCACAUCUUGACGGUACCUAAUCAGAAAGCCACGGCUAACUACGUG